CCGCCCCUCCAGGACCCCCGACGGGGCCCUGCGCUCCUGGCGGCUCCCUCCCCCGCCGCCCCGCUCCCUCCCGGAAGGCCUCGGGGCAGAGCGGUCCCACCCACUGCGCGCUGAACAGAGCCCGCGUUUCCUCAGAGCUGGAACUCCCGGCUCGGGCGGGGUCUCUUCCCUCCGCCUUCACGGAACUGCCCCGGAGCCCGAGGGGAGGGCGACCUCACUGAGGCUGCCGGCUCUGGAGGUGCCCCGGCGGCCGAAGCCGUGACAGUCGCGGGGACGGCGGGCCGGUUGUUUCAACAAGUAACUUAAAGACAAAAUGGAAAAACAAGGAGGUUUGUGCCUGAGAUCAUGUUGAUGUGAAACCAGGGAUGGCCACCUUGUGCCAGAUUCUUCAGAUGCAAACAGGCAGAGCUUCAGACUGAAAGUCAGCUCUUCCAAAAUGACCCGUCAGCAAACACUGCAGGAUUCCACUCCAGUGGGUGCCCUGGAGUCGACAACUCAGGGACUGAAGUGGAUAUCGGUGCCAGGGGCAGUGGGCGGGAAUGGGGAAUGAGACUUUCAUGGUUGUGGAAUUUUGGUUUUGCAAGAUGAAAAGUUCUAGGGAUGGUGGUGAUGGCUCCACGAGAAAGUGAAUAUAUCUGAUGCCUCAGAAACGUGCACUUAAAAUGGUGAUGAUGGUAAAGGGUAUG